rnacentral:rRNA from 1 species
GUCCGCACGGUAAACUAUGGAUGCCCGCUGUUUGCGAUAUACAGUAAGCGGCCAAGCGAAAGCGUUAAGCAUCCCACCUGGGGAGUACGCCGGCAACGGUGAAACUCAAAGGAAUUGACGGGGGCCCGCACAAGCGGAGGAACAUGUGGUUUAAUUCGAUGAUACGCGAGGAACCUUACCCGGGCUUGAACUGCAGGGGAACGAUACAGAGAUGUUGAGGUCAGCAAUGACCCCUGUGGAGGUGCUGCAUGGUUGUCGU